AGGGCUCUGAGCACCAGCACACUGGCCUUCCCCGGGGGUCGCUGGGUGGAUAAGCCGGGUAGCUGCCCCAGAGCAGAGUGCCCACGCCCCCUCCCACUGACCUGGAGGCCCAUCCCCAGUCCCUUGGGUGGUGAGAGGAGAGAGGCCUCUCACGGGAUGUGCAGAGGUGGAGUUGAUCUCUAGGCAUGGAAGGAAACAAAACUUUGGCUUCCUGGGGAUUUCUGACCUGCCCAUCAGGAUGCUGCUUGAGAAAGCUAGGGGCCCGAGGUGCCCACUACUCACCUGCCGCUACCUCGAGAGACACAGGGCAUAAUAGUUACAGUUUACACCUUUUUAUUGCUGAGUGGGAUCCCAUUGUAUGAAAUAGGACAAUUUGGCCACGUGUUGAUGGACAUUUUGCUGUUUCCGGGAUUGGACUGCUGCUGUUUUCUGAAGUAGCUGUAUCAUCGUGCAUUUCUACGCUCAGUGACAAGAGUUCCAGUUGCUCCACAACUUGACCAACACUCAGCUUGUCAGACUUCUGAUGGGUGUGUAGCGAGAAGCAGCGGUGCAAUGUCUCCAGGACCCAGGGAGCUGAGCAGGAGAGGGUGCUACCGCCCAAGGGGAAAGGGAUGGAAAGCAAGAGAGCUUCCUGGCAGAGGAGACCUUUGAGCUAUGAUUGGAUUCAAGAUGUCUCUUGGGGACUGCAGGGCUCCCAGGCCACAGGAGGACAACAAGUCCAGAGCCCAUGUCAUCAGACUUUCUCAAGUCACAGGCCAAAUUGGAGAGGCCACAUGCCCGAAGCCACCCAGAGGGGUCAAGCAAAGCCAGGACUCCAGGCAGCAAAUCUUCCUUAUGUCCUUCCUGCAUGUGAGGCCCUGAGCAGAGUGCCAGGGAUGAGGAGGAACAGACAGAGCAGCAGCUGCCCUCACCGCCCAGUGGCAGAUGUGAGCAAGUUAUCAACUCUAGCACAACAGGAGAGCCCUUACCUGCAGCUGGGGAGACCGGGGACCUCCUGGCUGAAGUGACCUUUAAGCCAAGGCCUCAAAGCUGAAGAGGAAUGUGUUUUCCCAAGAUAAAUGCAAAGGCUGAGGAUCAAGAAAAAAACAGGUGUGAGUUUGGGUAUGUUGUGGUCUCAGUUUCCUCAUCUCUUGAAUGGACUUCCUGCUC
rnacentral:lncRNA from 1 species